rnacentral:rRNA from 1 species
GACGAACGCUGGCGGCGUGCUUAACACAUGCAAGUCGAACGGAAAGGCCCUGCUUUUGUGGGGUGCUCGAGUGGCGAACGGGUGAGUAACACGUGAGUAACCUGCCCUUGACUUUGGGAUAACUUCAGGAAACUGGGGCUAAUACCGGAUAGGAGCUCCUGCUGCAUGGUGGGGGUUGGAAAGUUUCGGCGGUUGGGGAUGGACUCGCGGCUUAUCAGCUUGUUGGUGGGGUAGUGGCUUACCAAGGCUUUGACGGGUAGCCGGCCUGAGAGGGUGACCGGCCACAUGGGGACUGAGAUACGGCGCAGACUCGUACGGGAGGCAGCAGUGGGGAAUAUUGCGCAAUAGGCGGAAGCCUGAUGCAGCGACGCCGCGUGCGGGAUGACGGCCUUCGGGUUGUAAACCGCUUUCGCCUGUGACGAGGCGUGAGUGACGGUAAUGGGUAAAGAAGCACCGGCUAACUACGUG